GCGGAGUUGGCGGAAUUGGUAGACGCGCAGCCUUGAGGUGGCUGUGUCCGUAAGGACGUGAGGGUUCGAGUCCCUUGCCCCGCACCA
rnacentral:tRNA from 9 species